rnacentral:rRNA from 1 species
GAGUUUGAUCCUGGCUCAGGAUGAACGCUGGCGGCGUGCUUAACACAUGCAAGUCGAGCGAUGAAGUUUCCUUCGGGAAACGGAUUAGCGGCGGACGGGUGAGUAACACGUGGGUAACCUGCCUCAUAGAGUGGAAUAGCCUUCCGAAAGGAAGAUUAAUACCGCAUAACGUUGAAAGAUGGCAUCAUCAUUUAACCAAAGGAGCAAUCCGCUAUGAGAUGGACCCGCGGCGCAUUAGCUAGUUGGUGGGGUAACGGCCUACCAAGGCGACGAUGCGUAGCCGACCUGAGAGGGUGAUCGGCCACAUUGGGACUGAGACACGGCCCAGACUCCUACGGGAGGCAGCAGUGGGGAAUAUUGCACAAUGGGGGAAACCCUGAUGCAGCAACGCCGCGUGAGUGAUGAAGGUUUUCGGAUCGUAAAGCUCUGUCUUUGGGGAAGAUAAUGACGGUACCCAAGGAGGAAGUCACGGCUAACUACGUGCCAGCAGCCGCGGUAAUACGUAGGUGGCGAGCGUUAUCCGGAUUUACUGGGCGUAAAGGGAGCGUAGGCGGAUGAUUAAGUGGGAUGUGAAAUACCCGGGCUCAACUUGGGUGCUGCAUUCCAAACUGGUUAUCUAGAGUGCAGGAGAGGAGAGUGGAAUUCCUAGUGUAGCGGUGAAAUGCGUAGA